AUAAUCAGUCUAAAACAAUGUUCAUGUUAAAGAGACACAUUUUGGGGUGGUAAAUUUGUGCCCCUUCAGUACACUCUAUGAUGUUCGCACAAUGACGAAAUCACCUAUCGACGCAUUUCUUGGAACAUAUCCCCAUUGUUAGGUGACAUGUGGCUGCAUUGUGAACUAUAGGCCCCAUGCUGUGCAUUACACCAGGGGAUUUUAUACACCGCCGAGCUGGAGAAUUCUGACCCACAUGAACGAACCUACGUUCAGAUAGCUUCUCUCCGACCCUGUAGAUUCGUCCUCACAAUCAUGGGGGAAAAUGGGGAGAGUUUUGUCACGUGCAGGAGCUCUGGUCAGUUGGACCGAAGCAGGUGAUUUGGGCUUAAGGCCUAAGGAGAACUUCUCACUGCCUCAUGUUCCAAGCCUUGUCACCAGCUGGUCAUGGAGGCAAAAGCAACGUGUGCAGAAGAGAGAAGAGCAAUGAGUGCCAGGGAGACCUACCCCACGGAGGCCAGCCUCAGCUGCAUUUAACCUUUCUGCUGCGAGGGAAGGAGAAAGCCCUCGAAAGAGAGGCAACGGCCUACCAGGCUGCAGGUGUUGCUCCUCCGCUGAUUCCCAACCUCGGCUGCGCUUCUAAUCACCUGAAGAGAUUUAAAACAUCCCAGCGCCCAGGCUGAACUCCAGACCAAUUACCAGACUCUCUGGGGGUGGGCCCAGGCACCAGCAUUCUGGAAAGCUCCGGGGGUGAUUCCAUUGUGCAGCCAAGGUUGAGAACCACUGCUCCUAGUCCUACAGCCAGAGAGAGCCACACCCACGGGAAGACCUCGGCCACUGUCCAAGAGUCCGAUCCAAUUCCUUUUGCAUUCCUUUUUCUUGAAGAGAGAUGGGACAAGAAUGAGGACCAGCAGGAGACCGCCUCCCCUCCCCUACUCUGGGAAGGAGCUGUUCUAGGUGUCGUGCAGCUGGAACAUAAAGACUCUUUCAGGGACCCCACAACCUCGCAGCUGGAGGACACAACCCCACAAGCCACAUUUAGUGGACACAAACAGUUUUGCAUUGUGCUGGAUUGUUCUACUGUGAGCCCCAUUACAUAGGGGGCCAUGUUUCCCAGAAUCGUCUUCCUUGUGUGAUUCCAGGUUAGAAUCGCCAAAAGUGAAGCUGUGGGGGCUGAGGGAGGAGGCAGUGAGGCGGCCCCGCUGAAGGUCCGAGGCAGUGAGAGACAGGCGCAGAGGUGCUGCCAGCUUCAAGCUUGCCCCACUCUGCUGUCCCCACGCCGCCUCCAGCCCUUCUUCCUGAACGCCGGCCUCGCUGACCCACAGUGACCCCAGUACACCAUCAAUGCUCCACUGUGGAUUCAACGAGGCAGCAGCUACAAUGAGCCGCCAACCUUCCAUGGGCUUCUGCACCAACGCCUCUGCGGUCUCACUCCUUCAGCCAGAUGUGACCAGCCUCCAGGCUUUCCUGCAAGCCCUCACCUGUGUCCACACUUCUAGUGAGCGCCUUCUCUCUGCCCUUUUAGGACCAUUUCCCCAGUCUCUCUUGCAAUUGGGGAAGGUCGAAUUCUCAUAAUGCCUGAUAACCUAACACUCCUCGUGGUCCUGCUUUUCUGAUUCCACCCUCACGGAUACACCGUAGAAGGGCAUGAGGAAGCCUUCCGGGAUGUUGGAAACGUUCUGUAUCUUCAUCUGGGUGGUGGUUACAUGGAAUCUCUCUCUAUAUUUUUAAAUUCAUCAAAGCUUAUACUUAAGAUUUGUACACUUUAUCAUUCAUAUGCUGCAUCUCAAUAACUGUUUUUUUAAAGAGUGACUUAAGAGACUUUAUCAGCCAAAUAAAUAAAUUAAAACACAACAAUAGGUUGAAUGCAAUCUAUUGCCUUCGUGCCUAGUGCAAUCUAAUGAACCUGCCUGGGCUGCAGACCCCCCAGCCCCAAGCCUGCUUGCCAGCCUCCUCCCAGGCCCCAGCACGUCCCUCUCCGCAGCGGCUUCUGCUGAAUAUGUAACAGUCCUUCUAAGGACUCUCUGCCUGCCGGCUUUGACAAUAACAGAUCGUGAUUACAAAUGGCUGUUGACUGGGGAAAGAUCUUUGGUCUUCAUUAAGGUUUAUUUGUGACUGUUCCGAUGGUGGUUUCGGAGAGAAGAGAAAGAAUGCCGAUGCUAAUUAGGCCCUCCUAAUUGCCGUCGUCACUGAUUGCCUGUAUUAAAAACAUUUGAGGAAGUGUGGCAAUUAGAACUUCGGGAAAUAUUUAAAAACAAAGUGAAAAGAGGGCUCAAAGUGCAAGGACACAGAGAGGCAGCCAGGAGCCUCUGCCCAGCUGGAGUGGACCCUGAGUGACCCUGGACGUCUGAGCAGCUCGCCCCCUGGGACGGCAGCCAUGACGGUCUGAGGAGAAAGAUGGGCAAAUCCUCCCAACAGUCACCUUUCAGAUGCAGCUGUGAUCAGCCCUGGAGAGACAAUUUUGCAGACAGGAUAAUAAUAGUGGCAGACACACAUUAGUUAUAUAUGUGUAUAUAAUGUAUUAUGUAAUAUCCAUAUGUUAAAUCCAUGCAACAAGCUACAGCAUUGUCCCCAUUUUAAAGAUGAAGAAAUUGAGGUCUUCAUCUGAAGAAAAAGUAGAAAACUUUCUCAAGGUCACACACACAGCAGGCGGCAGACCCCAGCUCAAACCCAGGUCUGCACGAUUUCAAAGCACAUGCCUGUAAGCAAUACAAUAUUCCUUGUCUACGUUAGUCCCCAAGCCCUGGAUUGCUCUAGCCACCAGGAUCCCAGCAAGGCUGAGCUUGCUUGCAAGUUUGCACCACCCCCUCCCACCAACUCGUUAGCAGUCUCCCUCAAGAACCUACUUCCAGUCACCAAACUAGUUCUUUUACAGAGAAACUAAAGUCCAGAGAAUAUCAAGAAACCGAAGCUUCCCACGCCCAACUCCACGGUUUCCUGACGUCAGAGUCUACCUCCACCACGGAGAUAAACAGCCAAGGACACUCGUCUGAGAAAUCCUUUGUCUCCUCUGCUGGAAGCAGCCCCAGACACAGGCCGAUGGGAAAACGUUGACCAAGAAGGUCAUAGCCCCCCUCCCCUAUCUAAAACCCUAAAUAAAAACCCUAUACCCAGUUCUUAAUGGGGAGCAAGCAAUUUGGGGGACACUGGCCCUUGCUUUGUACCCUCUGCUUGGCACCCAAGAGUCUGUUCUCGUUAUUGGGAUUGGCAUCGGGAUCAGAGACUGAACUUUCAGUGACAUUCCCAGCCAAUUCAGGGAUCGGAGGUCUUUCAUCUGUCCCCGCAGUUCUGUCUGGAAGAAUUCUAACCAUGUUCUUUGCUCAUCACCAAAAGUCUCCAACCACCAACCAAACUUACAUAUUCCUCUGGCCCCGUGGUCCUCCACUACCUUAAACCAGAAUGGAAGCAACAUAAGGGAAGAGAUUUGGGUUUGUUUUAUUUCCAGUUGUGACCCUGCCAUUUAGAAGAGUGACUGACACAUGGUAGAGGCUCAGUAAAGAGUUGCCAAAUAAAUAAGAGCUUUCUCUUUUCCAAACAGAAAUACAUCCUCAUUUCUAGGCAUCUCUUGGUGUGUGAUGCUUUCUUAAAUACCAGACAUUUGUGAGGGAUAAGAAUUG
rnacentral:lncRNA from 1 species